rnacentral:lncRNA from 1 species
CUGAACCUACAACUAGUGUGCAGGCACCGAGGCCCAGCACCCUAUUAUGGUCUAUCAUGGAUCGUAGGGUGCUGGAUGGUCCAUGGAAGCCGUGUGGACUGAUCACACAGUCUACACAUAAUCUAGGGGCAUUUGUGUACAAUCUGACAGUUCAGAUUACGUGCGGUCACGAUCGAAUGGUUGGAACUCAAUCUAAACAUGAUCAGGCUUGAUCUGAGGC